CCUUAAGAUGGGGAAUAACCCCUCGAAAGAGGGGCUAAUACCGCAUAAGACUACAGCUUCUAUGGAAGACGUGGUUAAAAGUGACCUCUAUUUAUAAGUUAUUGUCUUAAGAUGAGCCUGCGCAACAUUAGCUAGUUGGUGGGGUAAUGGCCUACCAAGGCUACGAUGUUUAGCUGGUCUGAGAGGAUGAUCAGCCACACUGGAACUGAGACACGGUCCAG
rnacentral:rRNA from 1 species